AGGUAAAUAAUUGAGUUAAGUAUGGUAAUAGGUCCUUAAGCUAACCUGAGCACUCUCUACUAAUCCUUAGGUAAAGUAAGGGGGAUAGUUAUGUAAGGUCUUUAGUGAUCUGGUCCAGCCACAGCUGAUAUUUUAGUCUUGUUGAGUACACUUUUAUCAUUUUAAUUGCAUAUUUCUUAUAAAGUAUAAGUUGCCGUAUGAUCCACAUGAUACGCAAUGUUGUAAAUAUAUUACUUAUUCUUCAAAGUCAUGAUACGUUAGUGAGUAGUGUGAUACUAAUUACACUGGCCAUGACUUAAUGUUAAGCAACCAUAUUGUUAUAAGGUGCUUUCAGUAAUUUAUAUAGUUUAUAGCUUGAAGCUGUACCUAUUAGAAUUGAUUUAUUAUUAGCAAUAAUUUAUAGCUUACAGCUAUAAAUGUAAUAAUAUAUUGUACAGUAUUUUAGUACACUAAGUCUUGUAUGAGUUAGUUGAUGAUUAUGUACAUAGUUCUAGGAAAGUAUUAGUAAAUAUGUACUGAUGUAGUGCAUAUAAAUAUUAGGUUUAUAUUACUGUGUGUGUGUGUGUGUGAGAAUGUGUGAGAGAGAGAAAGCGUCUGUGUGCGUAUUAUAUACAUUUUACUUAAUUGUGUCAUUUCAUUAUUAGGCAUAGAGGCACAUAUAAAGCCAUACUGUUGGCACUGACGUGAUGAGCCUGCGUCCCUGAGACGAGGGAAUUAUCAUCCAUAGCCAUAUUGUGGUGGGAUCUCCAUAUCCCUGAUAUGAACAGACCGAAUAAAUCCCAUGAACCCCCAAACAAGUAUUCGUCGUCAUUACCUAGAC